CCCUUAGAUGUUCUGGGCCACACGCGCGCUACACUGAUGCAUUCAACGAGUUACCUUGGCCGAGAGGCCUGGGCAAUCUUUUGAACGUGCAUCGUGAUAGGGAUAGAUUAUUGCAAUUAUUAAUCUUGAACGAGGAAUUCCUAGUAAACGCAGUUCAUCAAACUGCAUUGAUUACGUCCCUGCCCUUUGUACACACCGCCCGUCGCACCUACCGAUUGGAUGGUCCGGUGAAGCCUCGGGAUUGUGGCCAGUGCCUUUUUGGUUUUGGUUGCGAGAACUUGUCUAAACCUUAUCAUCUAGAGGAAGGUGAAGUCGUAACA
rnacentral:rRNA from 1 species